CGCAAGGAUGAGGAAAGUCCGGACUCCGCAGGGCAGAGAGCCCUUCCGUAAAGGUUGGGAGGCGCAGGGCGAUCCUGCGCGAUGGAAAGUGCCACAGAGAACAGACCGCCCGCAAGGGCAAGGGUGAAAGGGUGGUGCAAGAGACCACCGGUGCGUCUGAAACGACGUACGCAGGGCAAACCCCUCUCGGAGCAAGAUCAAAUAGGGGAUUGAAUGGGCGGCCCGCCCAGUUCGCCGUCCUUCGGGAUGGCGGUGAAAUUCCGGGUUGAUCGCUUAGAUGAAUGAUUGGAGCGCCGCAAGGCGUGAACAGAAUCCGGCUUAUUCGCCG
rnacentral:RNase_P_RNA from 1 species